AGGCGAUGGAGGUUCUUGCAAGCGAGCUCACGAUCUAGUGGGGUGGUGGCGGAUUUUGUGAGGUGAGUUUGGCUUCUCUUUGAUUUUGUAGUUUCUUGUGACUGCACCUCACAUACUCUAUCUCUAUUUCUCUUUUCUCUUUUCAAUUGAAGGGCAUGGCUAGGUCAACAGUUGUGGUGGGCUCGAGAGUGGCAUGAUUGGUGGCGUGGGGCUCAAUGACACUUUUUUGUUUUUAGGGGAUUUACAGAGGCAGGCAUGUGCUCCUUCUCGGUUG
rnacentral:lncRNA from 1 species